UAAUGGUAAAUAAACAUAAUCAAAUUCAAAACAACUCAAAGAAAUUUCAAACAAACAAUAAAAUUCUUAAAGAAAUAUUAGAAUGCUCACAAAUUUUAAUCAAAUAUAUGUCAAUUCAACCUUAAUUUAAUUCUAUUUAAAAUCCUAUUGAAUUUUACUCAACUUUAGACCAAACCUAAUUAAAUCUUAAACCCUAAUAAUUCCUAAAUCCUAAGUCAAAUUCUAAACAAAUCUUAAAUUAAACCCUAUUUGAAACCCUAAACCCUAAACCAAACCCUAAAUCAAAUCCUAAACCAAAUCCUAAUCCAAUCCUAAACCCUAAAUCAAACCUUAAAUCAAAUUCUAACCAAAUCCUAAUCCAAAUCCUAAAUCAAACUCUAACCAAAUCCUAAACCUUAAUCCAAACCCUAAUCCAAAUCCUAAACCGAACCCUAGCCAAAUCCUAAUCUAAAUCCUAGUAAUUCCUAUGACAGAUUUAAACCUUCAAUAUCUAAUGAAUAAACCGUUGAUCUCAAUUCAAAAUUUACAUACUUCUUAAAAAUCAAGUUUAAAACAAGAAAUUUUUUUUUGAAAAGGAUCGGAGUUACCAAAUUGACGAAAACCUCAAAAAUGUGUUCGGAUGUUAGCCGGCCUCCUUCUCCAAUCUUGUUGCUAACCUUCCAGAGCCAAUUUCUCUUCUUUGC
rnacentral:lncRNA from 1 species